CGGCACCGUAGCGCCCGGGGUGCCCGAAGGGCCCAGGGAAGGCGGUGCGAAGCCGCCGCGACCCCGUCACUGUAAUCGGGGACGAAACCCGCGAGUGCCACUGGCCGAAGCGGCCGGGAAGGCGCGGGGAGUAGGUCGAUCCGAGAGCCAGGAGACCUGCCCGGGCGCGCAUUUCGAC
rfam:Candidatus Rokubacteria bacterium 13_1_40CM_4_69_5 13_1_40cm_4_scaffold_381, whole genome shotgun sequence.